UGGACAUAAAUGAACAAAGACUAUAUACUAUUCGUAGUAAAUGGGCUCAAUCAUGCACAUGUCUUUUCACCUAAUUUAAAUGAUUCAUUAGUUCUGAAUUGCAUUCAAAUCUACCAACAUCUUUGGGUUGCAGGUGAGGUGAUUCACACGGUUUUUAUCAUCAACUUCUCACAUUACAAAACGAAGUGAAUUAGCUAUGGAACUAUUCUGGCUGCGUAGCAGAAUAGCUUGAGAGAUUCAUGUGGUGUUUGUGAUGAGGUUAGCAGCCUCGCGGCCUCCCCGGGUUCAAAGAAUCAUUCGGGAAACAAAGGAAGAUGGAGAACGACCUGACCCGGCUCGGCGGUGUGAAAUCACUCCCGGGUCACACGUGUUUCAGUUCAUCCUCUUCACCUUGAGGUUUUGAGACGAUGGAGCGGAUUGCACGCCACGGUGCUGAAGGCCACCUCGCUGCUCCAGAUGCAGUCUUUCAUCUUUCUUUUUUUUUUUCUUUCCGAAGCCCAGUUGCGGUAACGAUGCCUCUCCAAACAGACAGAAGAGCCUGCGUACCAUCACUGCACGGAUCUGCUGCGGGACGGGACACGCAUGCGGUUUAUUGCUCUGAAUCUGGAAAGUAUUGCGUGGAAAUAUUCUCUGCUGGUCAUGGGGUGAAAACCUUUCACGCUAUUAUUGACAACUUCUCCUCGGCGAGCCAAGUGACUCCUCCGGCUUUUCGCGGUCAGGCACAUGUUGCGCGUGUUGCAAAAUAAUAAUUGUCCACUCCAUCACAUCGGCGGGAUGGCGAAACACUCGAGGAGCUGAGUUGACAGUAGACAGUCCAGCGGCCCCAUCGAGAUCAAAUGAGUGCCAUUACGCACCGAAUCAACUAAAGUUUUUGGUGAUAAGAGAAGCACAGUGAGGCUCUCCAGAGCAGCUCUGCUGUCCCGGCACAGAUAAAAAGCUUCCUCUUCUGAAAGGUCCCACUCCUCAUUUGGAUAAGCGGCAUAAUAAGCAAAACACUUUCGUAACUAUUCCCUCAUUAAUGUGUGAAGCGGGGCCUUCUUGUUUGCACCCCGAGUCAAUUUGGAGAAGGUCCAUGUUCUGUUGAACCUUUGAAGAGUUGAAGCCGCAUUGUUCAAUAGGAAAAGGGUUUAGAAAGAUGUCAGUCACUUCCAAUUAUUUCGGCGUUGACAUGAAUAACAUAAAACAGGAAUUCUGUAAGUGGAAAGGAAAAAAUAAAAAGCCCGGAUUUGCGUUCGUCCAAAUGUUUCAUGUUCAAAUUGCAAAGAAGCGAACCAGCUGCAGAAUCACAUUUUUUGAAUAAGACAAUCCUUUUGAAUUCACAUUUACAUAACUUUCAAGCCUGACAACAGACGGGACAAAACAUCAAGACUUAAUUUAUUUCAAGAGCACAUGGCAAAGGAAUGUCUUGAAAUGCUGAAAAGAUGUCCAAAUAUAGAGGCUGGUGCAUUUCACUCGGCUCCUUGAAGUGAAAUUGAAAACAUUACACGGAUAAAGCGUUUUAAGACAAGUUAAAUAACUGUGUUUUAUGUUUGGAUGUGAUCAUAUGCUUAUUUCAUUAACUUCACAAAAAGUACUUCAUCAUCAUUAUUCCUAAAAUCAAAAACAUUUAUGAUGUUAAUUUAGUUAAGAUUAGAUUUUUCCAUCAUGCUGAUAUUAUAUUAAAAGUACCCAACAAAAGUUCCCCUGCUGUUUUCAAUUACACACUAAAGUUAGCAGACACAUUUUAAUAUAAACCAACACAUGUCUGUACUGAAAUAUGUGCUCUAGCACUAGUUAUAUUAAAAAGGAUGGAAUGAUUUAAUAGAGCUGUAAACAUUUUGAAUUCAUGCCAAUGAGACAUUUUAGUUUAUGUUUUGUAAGGGAAAAAAAAGAACGAGGUAAAAAAAUAAUAAAAAAAGAAAUAUUAUGUUUAUGUAAUUGUGAAAGUUCACCUUUCACUUCAAAAUGACUGACAUGAUCGAACAAUAACCCAAUAACUGUAUUGCUGAUUUCAGAUUUAGUUUUUCAAAGAGACAACAAAGUUAAUGCCACAAAAAUAUUCUUAUGUUGAGAAAAUAAAGCAAAAACAACGUUUAUGUUUUUAGUUGACUAAUUUGUAAGAUAUUUUCAGUAAACCAUUUCGUACAUUUUGUUCCCCUUUCAAGUUCCAGACUGCCUCUUUUAUUUUCAGUGUACUCAUUUGUUCCGGCGAUGUGCGAUGUGAAAUGUAGCAUCUCAUAUACAUUGAAUUCAAAUGGAUUAUUCUUAUUCCUUUUUUUCUUUAUUCCAUUUGGCUUUUAAUCUGCAUUGACCCUGGUGCACAGCCUAUAAACCAGUCACAACACAGUUUGGGAAAAAGACAUAGAUUUACCAGUAACAGAUGGACUUUACGGAAAUGAUGGUCUCAAACCGAGUCCACCCGUGACUGUGAAAACAAAAUGAAACCUGAGUGGUAUUCAUCAAUCAUAAUAAGGAAUAUCUGCGUCGUACUUUACCUCUAUGGGGGAUUUUCUCUUUCGCUCAGGACGGAUGAGAAAACCCCCAAAGUGUCAUAAUAGAUUCAUAAUAGAUAAUUGGUUUCACAGUGAAUAGUUAGAAGAAUUGGUGUUCGGGUGUUCUAUUUUUGGUGGAAACAUUGCAAAACCUGUUAACUGCUCAAUGCACUGCCCCAGCAUGCAGAGAGGAUGCAAACAAAGAUAAAAUAUGGGGAAAUAUUGGUUCUUUUUUAUUUAAAUUGUCCCACAUAUUUCAUCCCACAGUUUUCUUCACAGCCCAUCAAUCGUUGCGAUAGAGUUGCGGCUAAGAUGUCGCGUGACUUUGGGAGCGUGGAGUACAACUUGUCAUUGGAUGUGCUGUCAUUUAGGUGUUGUCUUACUUCUUCUGGAUUCAUGGUUUCCUUUCUGGAGUCAGCCGGGCUGAGGAGUUUGUCACGCAGCUCCCGCUUUCUUUCCUCAGCUCAGGCGAGGCGAGCGUCCGCCGCCAUUGUCAUGUCCUCAGCCUGUGGCUCCCUGCAUUGUUGGACAGGAAGAUGAAUGCGAGUGCUAUGGGCAGCGUCAUUAUUAAUGAAAAGUGACAUCAUCGCGUGGUCUGCUUAACAGCAAUCAGGCCUCUCUCUCUGUGCAACACACAAUGCAAUCCAGAUGUCCAUUUGAUUAAAGGCUUAAACUAGAUUGGAAGAGUGGGAAGAGGGGGGGGCGGCGCAGGUCAACCUCUCUGUUCUGAAAGAAAGAGUUUUAUACAUUUUUCUUAAAACAAAAACACAUGGGACGCAGACCCCACCCCCGCCGACCUUCGGCUACCCGAUUCCACUGUGAUGGUCGUCACCUGGUUUGGAGCAGCAGCACUCGAUAAUCUGCACGGAAAUUCCUCUCUAAUUGGACCUGCUACUUAUUGUGAGACAUUGCAUAUUUCUCACUCCUAAUAUUUGUGGGAAAUUUACCACACUGACGUUUUCACACUGCUGGAGGCUAAUUGAUCCUCCCCAAGUCCCGCCCCCUUUACUUACUGUUGUAAGGGCAGACAAGCGUGACAAAAUUAAUUGGAGCAAUGCAAGCUGUGUGGUUCCGUUUAGCUGACAUUUUUCUGGGCGUCCAACAGCAAGAACUUGGACCUUUCCCGUUGCGAUGUUGGAUGUUGUUUAUAUACUAAAAAAAGGCACAAAAAGCAGCUCCAGGACGGCGAGUAGCCUUACGGAGAUAUUAACGUUAGCCUGCUGUUACGUUAGCAUGCUAUUACGUUAGCAUGCCGUUUUCUUGGCAAACAAGUAUUCAUGUCAGCUGAAUGACAAGCUACAAGCCUAGCUGCCUUUUUCCAAAUCGCAUUCCCAAGUAGUUAUAUAAUCCUCUAACUCCGGUCCUGAAAAACAGCUAUUGCAUUGGGUUGUCAACUCAGGUUUGUUGUUUCCGUAACACUAACGAGACGAUAUGAGCCGACUUCAGCCGCUAUUUUAUUUGAAAAACAAUCAAAUGUACUGUCGCAACAAAUUGCGUCUCAGACCGCAGCGGUACGAGCGGAAAAAUGAGACAUGAUUUUAAUCAACCUCAUUUUCUCCCAAAACAACAUUUCAGCAGAUUGUCCACAAAAUUAGGCAAAGAGGCCUUGAAAGCCUCACAGCGACAGAUGCAGUCAUUUGGCUGAGCGGCCGGGGACUCGCCUCCUGCCUAGCAAAGAUUUAGCAUUUGACCUACGCUGGCCACAAGAAGAUGCGGGCGGUUUGGACCGACUGCAACCUGAACUGCCACAUAAAAUGACUCACCUGACGCUGACUGGGCGUCACAUUUUCCCCCACCCAAUUUUUUAUGAGAGCAAAGCCAAUGUUGAAACUGAAGCAUAAACCCACCCAGCGCUCUCUGGCCCACUUGUUUUCUUUAGCGUAAAUGUUGCUGAUGCAGAAUGGAUGGAGGGAUGAAAAGUGAGAAUCAGUGACUCACUUUAUUUGGUCUGUUCACAUUCUGGCGGGCGUGAUGUGUAUAUCACGUUCCCAUGGUAGCUCUGAGGGUAUCCCGAAUUUUGUUUCCACCAUGUUUCCAUGUACGGAAUAGAGAUGCACAGUAUUUAGUGUUUUCUUUUGACUUCGCAGGUACCAGACAGACGUGCGGUGCCUCGGGGGAAACUCCCCUCCUCUGUGGGCCGAAUGCUGCGCAGGGGAAACCAUCACUCACUGUCCAUGCCUCCGUCAGGAUGGUGACGAUGCUGUCUGUUGGUGUAAGCUUGACGGAUGCCUCACAUGCAGGCGGAGGUCGCCCCGAGAGGGUGGAGGGCCACGAGACACCUUCGGCCACUUUCACAGAGAAAGGAUGGAGGUAAAGGAUUACCUCCGUCAAUGUUUGUAUUUGUGUCUUUGUUUCACUGAUUUAAACAUUUUUGAAUUUUUGACUAAUUGUACACUUUAUUGUUACUAUCCAAAUCUUCUUUUUAAUCUUUAUCAAUGAAGAUGAGUCAAACUGACACUUUGAGAACACAGAUUUGAAGCAUAAGACUCUGAUCUAAAUUAAAACAAACAUCUUGAUCUAUUCAUUUUAUAUUUUGCAUAUUAAAUAGCAUGUCUAGGCCAGGGAGAGGAUAGCACAUUUUCUUGAACAGCAUAGGGUUGAAACAAUUUAGUAUUAUUUUUUAAUCCAGAAUUUUCUUUUGGCUUAGAAAGGCGAGUGUGUUCUUUUUGUCCAUCCACCUGCCGUCUCGCCUACCGCAGCGCGCUACGUCACCAUCUCCGGGAGACGCACACACAGGUGUAUGCGUU
ensembl:lncRNA